CACGUCAACAGCAGUUGGACGUGGGUUAGUCGAUCCUAAGAGAUGGGGAAGCUCCGUUUCAAAGCGCCUGAUUCUUUUUUAGGCCUACCAUCGAAAGGGAAUCCGGUUAAUAUUCCGGAACCUGGAUAUGGAUUCUCCACGGCAACGUAACUGAAUGUGGAGACGUCGGCGUGAGCCCUGGGAGGAGUUAUCUUUUCUUCUUAACGGCUUAUCACCCUGGAAUUGGUUUAUCCGGAGAUGGGGUUUUAUGGCUGGAAGAGGCCAGCACCUUUGCUGGCUCCGGUGCGCUCACGACGGCCCUUGAAAAUCCACAGGAAGGAAUAGUUUUCAUGCCAGGUCGUACUGAUAACCGCAGCAGGUCUCCAAGGUGAACAGCCUCUAGUUGAUAGAAGAAUGUAGAUAAGGGAAUUCGGCAAAAUAGAUCCGUAACUUCGGGAUAAGGAUUGGCUCUAAGGGUCGGGCAGUGAGGGCCUUGGUCAGACGCGGUGCGGUGUGCUUGCGGACUGCCCGGUGUGGGUUUCGGCCUGUGCUGGGCGGACUGCUUGCGUGCUGUGCUGUAGACGGUCUUGGUAGGGAGCUGCGUGCUUCCGUCGCUUGCUGCGAUUAACGAUCAACUUAGAACUGGUACGGACAAGGGGAAUCUGACUGUCUAAUUAAAACAUAGC
rnacentral:rRNA from 1 species